UACGUAGGGGGCGAGCGUUGUCCGGAAUUACUGGGCGUAAAGGGUGCGUAGGUGGCCUUUUAAGUUGGAUGUGAAAUACCCGGGCUUAACUUGGGGGGUGCAUCUAAUACUGGAAGGCUAGAGUGCAGGAGAGGAAAGCGGAAUUCCUAGUGUAGCGGUGAAAUGCGUAGAUAUUAGGAGGAACACCAGUGGCGAAGGCGGCUUUCUGGACUGUAACUGACACUGAGGCACGAAAGCGUGGGGAGCAAAC
rnacentral:rRNA from 1 species